rnacentral:lncRNA from 1 species
UUCCGUACUCUCUCAAACCCUCCAUCAUUUGGAAAACCUAGUCGCCUUUCUCAAUCUUCUCCAAAUCCGAUCAAAUCAUGGGUUCCUUUUGUGAUUUUCUUACCUUUUAUAUGCUACCUCAUUGCUACUUACAAGAUUAAGGUAUUACAUAGUACAUACCCGAUUCUUGGCAAGUACCAAUCUUUUGAAUCAAGCACAAUCAUCACUAGCUCAGAUUCAGUCCAUUUUUUUUAUCUAUAUACAUUCAUGGCGAGAUUAUAUGGGUCUGGUUCAGAGAGAAUUUUUUAACUAUUUUGGUUCUCCAUCAUGAACUAGGGUUUACCUAAUUUAUCUCAUAACCCGAUUCUAAAUCGGUUUUACAUGCUAUUAUUUCCUUUAUUAUAUGUGAUGUUACAGUGUUUUCUUGUUUGUUGUUCAAUUUCUAUUACUAUAUUAACCCAUAUCCAAUUUCCCUUUUGGAAGACAUACAUUAAUCACCUUAAAAACUAUUACUCUCUUACUCCGCCACUCUAUAUUGUUCUGAACUUUGGCUCUUGGCCGGCUGAAAGCCAAGGUCACCAGAAUUCAAUUAAUUAACCUUUCUUGGUGCGAGCAUUGCCCUUCGUUCAUUUGAAACCCUAGGGAACUCUGACGUACUAAGACUUUGGGUUCUACCGCUCUUUCUUGACGUUUAGAGUACUGUUGAGACUAUUCUUCUUUCUUGUUUUUUUAAUCAGUUGAGUUCCUUGGCCUUUGAAGUGUCAUUCUCUUCGUUUGUGUUCAUGUUCUGCUUCUUCAUUCUACUGAAUUUUAGUGACUCAAUAUGUUUCUAGGCCAUCUCCGUUUGCAGCCUUAAUGGCACUGAAAUUGUUUUGUCACUCUGAACUUCUUUAGCAUUUGAACUUGCCUAUAUUUCCCAAUUCUGAAACAUGUCUAUUACAUGUGUUUAACUUGAACAAUUUUGGUUCUCUUAAGAAUUUAGCUUAGUGUAUUGUUAUCUGGAUGACUAUAUUUUCAACCUAACAUGAGUUUACUUCCCCGCUUUAUUCUGAACUCUUGUGAUGACUAACUCGUAUCCAGAAUGUGUUCAAAUCUUUGUUAAAACAUUUAUGCCCAACCUGUUAUCUUUAUGGAGUUUUACUUUUAAGCUAUGACCUGUUCCCAUGCUAUUUGUAACUCUACUUUAUCUCUUACUUACUUGAUCCUGUGUUCCUCAAUGAUGGUUGGGACCAUUAAAGUAAGUAUCAUAACUAGUAUUUUCUCCUAUAAGGUGAUGCAUGUUUGUCCUAUUGAUGUGAAGUCGACAAGUUUCGUUAACUAUAAGUUUUUCUAGUAUGGUGGUGGAUACUCAAUAUGAUUAAGCGUAUCUUUGAUUAUCAAUCCCUGAAUAUGACUUUGCUGGACCACUCAUGAGUAGGAUCCCUAUAUUUUAAAAUUAUUUAGGUUAGUGGUACAUUCCAAACUUGUUUGGAAUUGUGCACCCUUAUAUGUUUAUCCUAUAAUCUCAAAGAACUUGAUCACCAUAACUCUCUCUCAAUAUGCUUUUCUACUCAAUAUGCUAUCCCCAGCUAAGUUAUCGAACUAAUAAUGUCAACAUUGUUAUAUAAACUUUUUAUGAUGAAGUUAAACCUUAUUGAUUCUCUUAGUUUGCACGUUCUUUGUUUAAUCAACCAUUUUAUGUUUUCUUCUAAAAUACAAGUGCACUUUUUAAACAAAUUCUAUCAUUUAGUCGUUGUUAGUAGGUCGAAAAUUCUUUAAGUAAUUGCUACGUGUAUUUGUUUGGUCAAAUUAUUUCCUCAUACUUGCUUGGUAAGUAAUACUCCAUCUAUGUUUUAACAUGGGUCCAAAUAUGGACUUGGGUUGCGCAACUGAUACAAUCCAGUGUUAUUCAUAGAAAGUGAGCUUGUGGAAGACCCAGGCAGUUAUGGGUUAUUUUUAUUUUUUGGGGGCCUACUCUUGGGCCUGCAGUUUUUCGUGUAUCAUAUUUAUAUAUAUGUUCAUAAAUUGGGCUAUAAUAAUUCGUAAACAAAAAAUUGGGGUAUGUAUAAAAUUGGGGGAAAUGGGUAUAUUCUAAUAUCUGCACAAAAGGAUAAAAUACGUGCCUAUAUGGUCUAUGUGAUCUACUUGUUAUUCUAUCCAACAUGCCAUUUAUGCUUUUUUGUUUCCAUGUAUUGUACACUAGUAUAAACCAAGCCUGUAGGGAAUCAUACACUCACUCAACCUAUUUUACUAUCAGAAGCAUGAGUUUAAGUACUUUGCUUGUUCCUAUGUCUACUGCUGUGCUCUCUUAGAUAACAUGCCUAUAGGAAUCAAGUGUCAAUAACUAUUCACUCAAUUUGUGCAAUGGUAAUGUACUUAGUAGAUAACAUGCCUAUAUGAUUAUAUUAAUUGAUCUAUGCUAAUUCCUUAUCUAGAUACUAUGUCUAUAGGGCUUUAGUUGAUUAACUAAUCGAUUGUUUCUGUUGUCUUAUUACUCUCUCACCUAGAUAACAUGCCUAUAGGAAUAAGCGAUAAAUCUACCAAUUAUUGGAACCUGGCUAUAAAUGCUGCUACUCACUUAUAAAGCAUGCCAGCAGGAUCAAACGAGAGUAAUUCUGAGUUUUUCAAUUGCUAUCACUGCCUCCUUGUCCAAAUCAGUUAGAGAUCAUGUCUAUAGGUUUUAUUAUCGCGAUAAUAUGAAUUGCAGCACUACCAUGAGACUUUCUUAACUAUGUGGUCACUUAGAAACCACUCCCAUAGGUUUAAAACAACACCUCGAACCUGAAAUAGACUAUACAUCAUAUGAAGUCUGCCCGCUUGCAUUUGUUAAUAUGUGUGGAAGCUAACUUGGGCCUUUAUUGUCUAUACGUGAAGUCCUAUCUAUUUUGAAUAUUGCUUAGUUUUAUCAUUUCUGAGCAACCUAAGUUAAGUGUAGAACCACCCAAAUAGUAGGUCCAAAGGCUCCUGAAUCAUAGGCAUGGGAUGGGUAGCGCACGACCUAGAAUUGAGCUAGACCACUUUAGGCAAACAACUUCAACAUAGUAAUCGGGUAGCAGGAGAUGAUAGUCUGUGCUCGCAAAAUAAUAUGAGCAAAUCCUAUCCAAAAGAAGUUGCGAAGUAUUAUUUAUGUUGCAUGGGGUGAUCCUUUAGCCUAAAAAAUAUAGGAACCCCCUCUCCUUUAUAUAUUUGCUAUUAGACCUAAGUAGUUAUACUUAUAGUCAUAUAUGAUUUGUACAAGUUGUGUUAUUAUUCUUAGGCCAUAAUAUUCUUUUUGUUUAUUUGAUCAUCUAGCCUAAUUACAAUCCACAUAGUCUUAAGUUUGGCCUGGAUCUACAGUUGUGGACCUCGAUGUGUGCCUAACACUUUCUCUUUAAGGUAAUUUGAGCCCUUACCCCAUCUUUGGUGACGUUGACUAGUUAAAAUAGAGUUAUUUGCAAAUAGGUUCCCUAACACACCUUAAUAUUGUUAGGUGGCGAAUCUUUUCUUUUAAAACUUUUAUAUUCCAUUUAAAAGAGUUGUCACAUGCCGAAACCCGAUUUCGCGAGAAAAUGGGGUGUGACAGCUUGCAUAUGCAAUUCUCUCAUAGUAUUUUCUUAUUUUAGCUUGGAAAAAGUAAUUCUCAUGGUCUCACUCCUAUAGGUUAAAAAUACACCAAAAAAAUAUUUUUGAAGGGACUUUUGACCUUGGAAGCUUUGGGAGAGCAUUGAAGGAUACAAGACACGGGAUUUCAUCAUCUUUCCAUCAAUUAAAUGUGGGAGUCUGGAUUGUAACAUGAAAUUGAUGUUUUAUCAUUCUUUAAUUAUAUUUGUGAUGACUUCCUCCAUAAUUAUGGAGUAUUUUACCUUAGGAUUUGACGGAUAUGGUAUUUUGAUAAAUAUUUGUGGAUUUUAACUCUAGUUCAUGCUUGAAUUUGUUUAUGGAGUUUUGAAUUGUUUC